UACGUAGGGGGCAAGCGUUGUCCGGAAUCAUUGGGCGUAAAGCGCGUGUAGGCGGCUUGGUAAGUCUGCUCUGAAAGCCCGGGGCUCAACCCUGGGAGGCGGGUGGAUACUGCUGAGCUCGAGUCCGGAAGAGGCGAGUGGAAUUCCUGGUGUAGCGGUGAAAUGCGCAGAUAUCAGGAGGAACACCAAUGGCGAAGGCAGCUCGCUGGGACGGUACUGACGCUGAGACGCGAAGCGUGGGAG
rnacentral:rRNA from 1 species